GCUGGGUGUGGUGGUGUGCACCUGUAAUCCCAGCUACUUGGGAAGCUGAGGCAGAAGAAUCGCUUGAACCCGGGACGCAGAGGUUGUAGUGAGCUGAGAUCGCGCCACUGCACUCCAGCCUGGGCGACAGAGUGAGACUCUGUCUCAA
rnacentral:SRP_RNA from 2 species